GCGCGCUGUAGUUGUCUGGUUGGCUGUGGGCUGGGUUUCCAUGACCUGAUCAAAUGCAGAUCAUAACAUCAGUAAUAGAUUUUAAUAAAAAUGGAGAAAGAUCGAACAAUAAACUCAGAAAAUAUCAGCAGCUCCCGCUGUACCUUCUUCACUACACAGCCGGACGAUUAUCGAUGUCUGGCGGAAGCUGCUGUAAGUGAGUGCUCUCAGUAAACCUGCUGUUCAACAUUUCUACAGUUUGAGUGACCUGAAAGAGCUCCCUUCUGUUCUCUGUGUUGCUCCUGUUUAUCUAAAAGAAGAUAAUCAGUAGAACUCUCCCCCAAGUGUUGUUAUGAAAUAAUCGAACAUCCUAUAAAUCCCCUAGACCUUUUUAUUGAACCCCAUUUCAACCAAUUGGAAAAAAAAGGACCUCCA
rnacentral:lncRNA from 1 species